rnacentral:tRNA from 1 species
AUUACUAUAGCUUAAUGGUUAAAGCGUUAGAGUGAAAUCCUAAAGAAGUAAGUUCAAUUCUUUCUAGUAAUA